GACGAACGCUGGCGGCGUGCUUAACACAUGCAAGUCGAACGGAAAGGCCCUGCUUUUGUGGGGUGCUCGAGUGGCGAACGGGUGAGUAACACGUGAGUAACCUGCCCUUGACUUUGGGAUAACUUCAGGAAACUGGGGCUCAUACCGGAUAGGAGCUCCUGCUGCAUGGUGGGGGUUGGAAAGUUUCGGCGGUUGGGGAUGGACUCGCGGCUUAUCCGCUUGUUGGUGGGGUAGUGGCUUACCAAGGCUUUGACGGGUAGCCGGCCUGGGAGGGUGACCGGCCACAAGGGGACUGAGAUACGGCCCAGACUCCUACGGGAGGCAGCAGUGGGGAAUAUUGCACAAUGGGCGGAAGCCUGAUGCAGCAACGCCGCGUGCGGGAUGACGGCCUUCGGGUUGUAAACCGCUUUCGCCUGUGACGAAGCGUGAGUGACGGUAAUGGGUAAAGAAGCACCGGCUAACUACGUG
rnacentral:rRNA from 1 species